AUGAAGCUCCUGAGGUUUAAAUUUGACCCUGACCCCAUGAGUUGUUCCUGGAAUAUAUAUGGUAGUGAUGAUCUCUCGUAUGUGGCUCACUACCCAUAUAAAUACGAUUUUUGUUGCGAGAGUUUGACGGAUUUGUCAUUGGCACACAUUGCAACUAAGCCAGGAAUAGGACUUCGUUUUCUCUUGGGGAAGUGCAAAGCAUUGGAGAAACUGCGUCUGGAGUAUAUCAAUGGCCUAAAUGACAGUGACAUGAUCACGCUAUCCAAGUGCUGCAAAAACCUUAGAAGCAUCUCACUUUGGCUCCUGCCACAGUUCUAUGGUGGCAAUUUCAGGACGGCAUUUACUGAUGACAGCCUGAAAUCUCUAGCUGUCAGCUGUCCUAUGCUUGAGUCUAUUGAACUCACAUUUGAUGGUUGUGAGCCCUUAUAUCCAUCAGAAAUAGGCUUCACACAGGAUGGCCUUAUCAUGCUCAUUCAGUCUUGUCCGAUUCGUGUUCUUGUGCUAAGGGGUGCCAACUUUUUUGCAGACAAGGGGAUGAAGACCCUCUCAUCUGCUCCAUUACUGGAGACACUCGAGCUUGUGUGCUGCAGAGCGAUAACAGAUGCUGGGAUGCGUUUCAUUGUGCGUGCCCCAUGCUUGAUCAAUCUCACACUCCGGAUCUGUGCACAAGUGACUGAUGCUGGAGUGGCCAUGCUAGUACAUGCACUGAAGUUAGAGUCUCUGAUCAUUGAAGGCUGCGACCGGGUCUCUAAGAAGGCUGUGAAGAGGGUUGGUGGAUCAGCUCAGUGCCACACUUCCAAAAAAAGAUGA
rnacentral:rRNA from 1 species